GUGUCUGCUUUUCUGAUCGUGUUUCGGUAUGUGCUCCCAUGUCUUGCUCUGACCCAAUGAGCAAGAAGACGCUGCUACCCAGACCAGUGAUUUGCCGGCACAACCUCUUGCUGAAUGAAUUAGUGGAGAUACCGCAGGGAUUAACUGAAGGACCUCGCAUACCAGCCCCCCAGCUGGCCUGCCCAAGGAGCAGGGUUCAUUCUUUGGUGCUGCAUCAUAUCCUCCUGAGUGAGGUUUCUACUGCAAGCGAAGUUUCCAGGGAAGAACGUUUUGUGGAUUGGACUGCAGCCGAGUUUUAUAAUCAGAACUUCUCUUUCACGUGGUCUCUCUUGAUCUUGCUCACAUGCCCUUGCCAAAUUAUAUGACUGGUAAAGAGAGUUGAAAUGAUAAUCAUAUAGAAAAAACAAAUUUAGAGUGGGACUACAUGUACUGUGAAGAUGAAGUCAUCUAACACGUCAGUAAUACACUAUAGUAACUAACAUUUCUGAAAUAAAAUAACCAUGCUUUAAAAACCCCCUACGAUUUUUUUAAACCCCCACCACAUUUAAUUGGUGGCACUUUUGAACUUAUUUUACCACUGUAUAAUUAAUAUUAAAUAUUACAUUUUAAUUUAUUUAUGCAUCAAUUUGCAAAUAUCUGAGAAUGUGUUGUAUUUGAACUGUCAUCAGGAGUAGGCUACAUUGCUUUGCAGCUAUUUUGUCACUCUAGUGUGUCAAACAUUCUAUCCUUUUGCACUGCACAAAUUCCUUCAGAAUAAAUUAUGUUAGUGCUUUUUAGCUACUUUUUUCAUUUCA